AGCUCCAAUAGCGUAUAUUAAAGUUGCUGCAGUUAAAAAGCUCGUAGUUGGAUUUCUGGUUUUUCAGUGUUGGUCCCCUGACGGUAACGUCAGUUGUGUGACUAUGCACUGAAGCCAUCUUUCUAGAGAAUGUAAGCUAUCCUUCACUGGACCGGUUUACAUCAUCUAGAUCUUUUACUUUGAAAAAAUUAGAGUGUUUCAAGCAGGCGUACAGCUAUGAAUACAUUAGCAUGGAAUAAUGAGUUAGGACUUUGGUUCUAUUUUGUUGGUUUCUAGGACUGAAGUAAUGAUUGAUAGGGAUAGUUGGGGGUGCUAGUAUUCAGCGGCCAGAGGUGAAAUUCUUGGAUUCGCUGAAGACUAACUUAUGCGAAAGCAUUCACCAAGGAUGUCUUCU
rnacentral:rRNA from 1 species